rnacentral:rRNA from 1 species
UUAUCGUUUAUUUGAUAGUACCUUUCCUACUUGGAUAACCGUGGUAAUUCUAGAGCUAAUACAUGCUAAAAAUCCCGACUUCGGAAGGGAUGUAUUUAUUAGAUACAGAACCAAUGCCCUCCGGGGCUCUCUGGUGAAUCAUGAUAACUCCGCGGAUCGCACGGCCUUGCGCCGGCGAUGGUUCAUUCAAAUUUCUGCCCUAUCAACUUUCGACGGCUGGGUCUUGGCCAGCCGUGGUGACAACGGGUAACGGAGGGUUAGGGCUCGACCCCGGAGAAGGAGCCUGAGAGACGGCUACUACAUCCAAGGAAGGCAGCAGGCGCGCAAAUUACCCAAUCCCGACUCGGGGAGGUAGUGACGAUAAAUACUGAUCCAGGGCUCUUUCGGGUCUUGGAAUUGGAAUGAGUACAAUUUAAAUCCCUUAACGAGGAACAAUUGGAGGGCAAGUCUGGUGGACCCC